UUACAUACGAAAGUGUAAAACGUGUAUGGCGAACAUUUGUUUUUCUGUCAUUAUAGAUGCUAGUUUGGUAAAAGUACACACUGAGUGCUUCAAAUCAUUCAGAAGAGAUGCUGUUUUUAGGGCAGUUUAUAAAGAAGACCUGACAUGGAUGACUUCCAAUGAGAAACGACUGCUAAUACUUAUAUAAAUUCAUUACAGAAGGACCCUACCAGACUAUAUUUGAAUACGGCAUACCCAUGAAUUCUGAACUGUUAUUCCUUAACCCAGUUUGGAGGAUAAGAGCUUACCAACUAUAAAUAUGCUGAGGCGAUGUAUUGCAAAAUAGCCAACAUACAACAAUUAAAGGAUAAUUGCAGACUACGUCCUGAUGAAGAUAUGGAUGACCCUCUGUCUGGUCAACAAUAGUUUAAAUAUGGAUGGGACAGUGAUGUGGCAGCUCUUCCCUGGCUCAUUCACCUCUUGCCUUCAUUUGUGAAAGGAAGAAAGACUGGAGAGGGUCAAUGUGCAACUGAAGCUACUGAUUGUGCUGUGUGAUGAGCAUCAAUCCAUGCUUUGAGGUGGAUGGAUCAGCACAGCCCUGCCUGCUCUGCGUUGGGAACAGAAGUUGCAUCCAGAGUUUUUGCAUCAUUCUGGACCAAAAAGCCAUUCCCUGCAUGAUGAAGACCACUGAUGCAGCCUUCCACUACAUCAUGAGUAAAACAACUACAGAACUUAAUACCAGGUUGGAAUGUAUUUAAGAAAAAUGAAACGUCUUUUGAAUUGAAAUGUCUGUUUUGUUAUGGAAAAAUCUUUAGUAUUGUGAAGGAUAAGCAUUUCUGCUUGCCGAUAAGGUAAUUGCAGUGUAUUUUAAUAUUCAAGUUUUGAGUAGGGUGGCAAAUUUUUUUUAACUCUCAUUUGAUUUAUUAAAGACUUUAUAAUAAGUGGUUUUCAUGUCACUGCGCUGUGGUAUAAGAUAACUUUCAUUAUUCCAUAUUGUAUUCUGUUUCUAAUUGUAGCUGAGGUAUUUAAAUAAGCAGUGUUAAAUGCAAAGUGUUGUGUGUAUCAAUGUAAAUAUUAAAUGUGAUGUACUUUAAUAAAAAGAGGUUUUGCAAUA